GGAGUACGCGGCGGGAGACCGGCUGACGGAGUACGCGGCGGGAGACCGGCUGACGGAGUACGCGGCGGGAGACCGGCUGACGGAGUACGCGGCGGGGUGGACGCAGGCGGAAUACCCGGCGGGGUGGACCCAGGCGGAAUACCCGGCGAGGUGGACCCAGGCGGAAUACCCGGCGAGAGAGAGACUGGCGGAAUACCAGGCCACUCCUUGGGAAGGCUUACAUCAGUUUACAGAGCACAUGGGGACAGGAAAGGUGACCGACCAAGAACAGACACGUCAGGUUGGAACCUCACAGCUGGAGCCUUCGCCGUUAAGAUGGCUCAGUGUUCCCCAGGUGUUUCUGCACCCGGACACUCCGGCAGCUAAGAGAAUUGCCGGACCGAGCCAUCUGUCCAAGUACCUUAAAGUGAAGGGCCUUCACGACACCGAGCCUAUUAUAGGUCUUGGUAGUGUGUUGGAGUGUCGAGGUAUAUCUCAAGCUACAUUCUUCAUGUGCGUGACCUGUGCUGAGACUUUCUCCAGCACGCACAUCUGUGAACACAUCAUCAGUGCACGGCACCAGCAGUACUACAUGAUUGCCCAGUAUGGUGGUGUCCUCUACGAGUGGCUGAGGGAACUACAGCUGCCCCCGAGUCCACACCUCCUCAGGGAGUUCGCCUGGAGACUGUCACAACUGGAGGUGGAGAUCGACGCACAGGUGAUGCUGCUGGACCCCAUGUGGUAUAAACAUGUGCAGUCAGCUCCGUUUUACCGAGCCAUGCAAUUGCUGCAGGAACAGAACCAGAGCGCCUUGGUUAUGCACACUGCAACCAGACAACAGCUUUCUCUCCCAGCUGAUCCUGACCUGGAAACGGAGCAGGGCUUUGACCAGAGAUACAGGAAAAUGAAUGAACUAACCAUGGAUCAAACUGCGCCUGGUCAUUCCCUGUGGACAUCAGAUACAGGGACUGUUAAACAGCCUGAAGACCUGUUUGAGUCAGUCCAGAGCCUGCAGACGGCAGAAGAAUGGACCAAUACUCUGAACCCAGAUCUGCCUCAGAUCAGCCAAAGAUCAGAAAGGGAAGAGCAUUUUGUGCCAGUCGGAGCCCAGGCACCCCGGAACUCUGAGCCAGUCGGAGCCCAGGCACCCCGGAACUCUGAGCCAGUCGGAGCCCAGGCACCCCGGAACUCUGAGCCAGUCGGAGCCCAGGCACCCCGGAACUCUGAGCCAGUCGGAGCCCAGGCACCCCGGAACUCUGAGCCAGUCGGAGCCCAGGCACCCCGGAACUCUGAGCCAAUGUCAACACAGAACCAUGAACCAGUCGGAGCCCAGACACCCCGGAACUCUGAGCCAAUGUCAACACAGAACCAUGAACCAGUCGGAGCCCAGACACCCCGGAACUCUGAGCCAAUGUCAACACCGACACACCAGAGCUCAGAGCCAGUCGGAGCCCAGGCCCUCCAGAACUCUGAGCCAAUAAGUACCAGAACUCCACAGAAAACAAAAUCAACCAAAACAGAGACACCAGUGACUUCCUCAGAACCACAUCUGAACCAACACAACACAGUCAUUAUCAAACAGGAGCUUGCGGACCCCGAGGUGGAACCCCAGACCCAGCCUGAGGUGGAUUCUGUACACCGGCCUGAGGUCCAACUGGCUCCUGCAUGUUUGGGAUCCCUGUAUGAAGGUAGAUUUCCCAUUCUCCCAGGACACAGCCAGAGGUUGACAUGUAGAGGAGGUGUUCCUCCCAAAAGCACCAAAGACCUCAACACCUACAUCAAGGAGAAACUGACUCAAGCUGUGGUCGGUCUCAGUGCGUUGAUAGAGUGCUGCUGUGAGGGCCUGGUGUCCUUCUACCUGUGUGUGUCGUGCGGUGGUCGACUGUCUUGUAACAGCCGACAGAACACGUCUGUCCUCAUCAACCACGUCCUCAAAUACAGGCACCGACUCAACUAUCUGACUGUUCGAUAUCCGUGGUAUUUCCAUGGUCUGGUACCUGGCCAGAAUCCGGCAGAAGAGUCCAGACUUCUGAUGCAGAUUGCUAAGGAGGUAGAGGAGCAGAACCAUGAUGAGCCUGGCAUGAUACAGGAGGUGCUCCUGAACCAGGCUGACUUUUUAGCGAUCAAAGGAAUGCUGUUUGAUAAAGCUGUGUCCCGUUUGAAGGAGAUCCGUUCAGAGCAGAACCAAACAGAACUUCUUACCAAGGUCACUAGCAAACUUGAACCAGUAGUGGUCAAGCAGGAGAUGGAGUGCCAGGUGGUGUCCCAUCAUGCCUUGGGGCAGUCUUCGUUGCCGCAGAGAUUGAAGCGCCAUUCUAGCAUCAAAGAGUCACCCGAGCAAGGGAAGAAACCGAAGGUGUCUAGUUCCCCUGAGUGUCAGGCCGUGAAAUCUGACCCUGCCUUUGACAGCUGUCCGUCGUCCUCUGAGGUCACUGAACCUUUUGACCCACCAUCAGGCAACCAGUCGUGCGCCGUCGAAACCUCAUCACUUGGCCACACUGACCCAGAACUGAAAAACACUCCUUCACAUACAGACUCUCAAUGUGAGCUGGAGGUCAGUCCACCCGGUAGCCCUGCUGACAAUCUGACUGUAUCCAAAAUGUUCUCAAGAAAGAAGCAGUCUCACUCGGUUUCCACCCGCGGCCACAAGCUCAGCAACAAACAUUUGGACAAGAAGGAUCCUGCUGACAGGGCUAAGGUCUCUCACGCACACAGCAAUGGCACACGCUCACACAGAGACCGCAGACACACUCACGCACACAGUCAUCACCAACACGCACGCAGUUGCAGUCGUACCAAACACACGCACAGUCUCAGUAAUGCCAAACACACUCGCGUGCGCACUGACCACGCAAGGACAGGCAAAGCCUGGCUCCGUGGCAGGACCCCAGAGAGACGCCGCAACAGAGAUCUUGCUGACCGACGUUCCGACCGCUCGCGCUCUCGUACCCCCCGCAGGAGACGUCGUUCUGUCCCCGGCUGCUCUCCGAAAGACCCGCCCACGGUUUGUCCCUUCAAGACCCACCAGGCCUCCACCUACUGCCUUUUCACUCACACCCCAUCCUAUCCCAGCAAAUCCACUUCGGCCCAGAGUCUGGCCCGGGAUGACCCCAGCCAACCGCCGUGCCCGUCUAAAGACCUGUCCAGCCAGUCCAGCCCGGCAGACAGGAGACCGUCCAAACCAACCACAGUGGUUAGGCCUCUCCAGGCCAAGGAGCAUCCACCAAACGACACCCCCGACAUGCCCCUCCACCCAGCGAGAACUGGACCCUGGACCCCACCGCCCCUGCCAGCCACCCCUACCCUCCUACCUCCCCCGCCCGAGCAAGAUCUCCUUUCUGCCUCUGGGAAUAAUAUGGCCUCCACUGUGGACGGUAUUAUGUUUAUUGGGGACUCUUCGCUGCGCUUCCCCCACUUGCCUGCUUCGACCACCCUGCCAAGGGCAGUGGGAGGUGGGGCUGAUUCCUGGACCAAGGGCCCUAUCGCUGGCAAGGAGAUGCCCGCCGAGGCGAUGGGGGUGGACUCAAAGGGCCGUGCUAUUGGCACGGUGGCAAUACCGGCCAACCCUCUGAAGAGGAAUCUUUCCGCGCCGGAACCAAAGGACCGAGAUCCCUGGAGCUAUGAGAACCGACAGUUCAUCACCAACCCCAGCAUCCAGGCUUCUAACCCCACUGCCAUUGCCUCACAGGCCCAGUGGGGCUACGCCGGAGGGUUGUCGGUUGGUCAGUUCACCUCUAACCCCGGCAGCUCUGCCCCUUGCCCCGGAGGCCGACUCUCCCUGGAGGGAUACCCUGUAGCCACCUACCCUGGUACGGGUUACCCAGGGGUGGGUGGGUUCACUUCCAGCUCCCCCACUGACCUCGGACCCAGUAACACACAGUCACAGCCCGGGUGGUCAGGGGGCUACUGGGGAACAGGCUACCAAGCUACGAGUCAACCGGAGACUGGCUACGUGUUGGCCAAUCAGGCUGGUCUUUCCUACCCCGGAGGUUUUUCUGGAAGUGAAGGGAGCUACCCCGGACAUCAGGUCUACCCAGGGGUAUUCUAUUCGGACACGGACUACCGUGGGCGUGCCUUCCCCGGGUCGGGUACUGGACUGGGUUCUGCUGGGGUGCCCCCCAGCAGCCACUACUCAACCAAACCACCGCUUCCGGCUGUUGGCUGCUGGGAAUUUGCCUCUCCAGCGGUGGGGAGUUGCCAGAGCUACUCCACCUGGACAGCAAAUGUCACCAGGGUUGCCAUGGAAACCAACACUGCUGGUAUUACUGUUGGGACCCCAACCCAGCUUGUCGGUCAAACCUGGGACCCCCGUGAGUGGAUGCCACCCCCUCAGUGAGCAUUGCCAGUGUGGAUGUCAAAGUGAGUGUUUGAACAGGGAAUGGAGGUGAAGAGUCGUCCCUGGACCUGGAAGGCAAUUGUUAUCUCACACAGGCACUGAAGAAAACAAUGUUAAAAUAAAGAGAUUGUAUUUGUUUACCAAUGUCUGAGUUGAAAUGAACACUUGGUUUUUCGUCCAUUUUCUAGUUCUGACAUGUAGCUAGUAGUGUUGGCCUUAUCGACCUCUGGAUGUUGUUCUGUGACCACAGAUUUUUUAUUUUUUUUAUUUUUUUACUUUUCAAGAGACUAAUUUUAAUUGCAAAACAAGUGUUGCUACAAAUUUAUAGACAGCAUUUAAAUAAACCAUAAACAAUUCAGUUAAUGAUAGAAAUCUUGAAUUUGUAUUAUUUUGAAAUAAAAUGUUUUCUAUA
ensembl:lncRNA